UUGUUCAAAUGGACUAUAUAUGAUCUACAUUUCUGUAUAUAAAUAAAUGGUUCAAAGCAAAAUCCAAGAUUACAACGACAAUAGAAAAAUUAAUAACAUGGUGAUAAUUGUUCCUUGAAGGUUGUUCAUUAUAGAUAACACCUACUGUAUGUUUAAUUUAAAACCUACAUUGUAACUAUAACUAGCUCAUUUCUCGAACUAUUUUCUACUGUAACAGAUGAGAUAGAAAAUUAGAGAAACCUGACUGACAACCGCAAUAGAAUGGAUCGGAGAGCAAUUGGACCCCUCAAGGUUGCAGUAGUGAAAGAAAUAUCCCAACAAUUCCAUCCCUCCUUAGAGCUGCAAUCAAUAGACAGAUGUGGCCAACGUGCGAGAAUCCAAUUCCAAUAGUACAAGCUCUAAGACUGAUCACUAGAAGUCUGCAGGUCACACUGUUGGUAACAUCCACCAUCUUACAAGGAGCACCAUCAAUAAUCUUAUAAUUAGAAAUCCAUUUAAGGGUGAUAGCAGCGAGAACUGGACACAAGAAAUGAGACUAGCGAGAUCACCAAGCAAAUGACUGCGCCAUUGUAGAGACAAUUGGAAUUUUUGAAUAAACUAGGGUCAGGGUAAAAGAUCAGAACCCACAGCCGGAAUAGUGAAAACAAGAAGAACAUAACAUUUGCGUACACGAUGACUUCAUUAAAUCUUUUGUCACUCCACAUGAUCAAGUUGUCGCGUUUCU
rnacentral:lncRNA from 1 species